GCCACUUUCUCCCUUUCCCUCCCCCCCCCUCCACCCCGUUUUAUCUUUCCUUAGCCUCACAACCUCCGUGGCUGAGACCGAAGGGCCGGGUCUUCCCCCCCCAAAGCCCGAAAGAGUCCCAUAAGAAGAUCCAGGCGACGAGACGUGUGUGUGUAUGGGGGGGGGGGGGAGAAUUGGGCUAAGGUUUAGAGAAGGGUCGGGGAAGAUGCCCGGUUUUUAAGGCAGAGAGCCAUGGGCUGUCCUCCCUCGGGGAGUUUGGAAGGGGGCCAAGGCCGGCUGGAUUGCCCCCCACCCACCCACUCACUCACUCACUCACUCCCCAGCAUGGAUCGCGACGUUCGCAGAGGCGGCGGGAAAAGGCCCUUCGGAAAGCCCACCUCGAAAGCCGGAGAAGCCGAGCUGGCUGGGUGGGUGGGUAGGAUGUGCGCUCCCGGGCACCGACGGCGCUGAAAUCAACAGGCUCGUUCAAGAGAGACGGCGGGCGUCUGAAACCCCACCGCCUGCGGCGAUAACCUCCGGGCGCUUCGCGGGGGGGUGAGCGGUGGGGCGAGGCAGAGCAAGCACCCAAUUAAGUCGGAGUGGCUAACGCGGAGCGGUAGACGGGAAGCAGCGCCGGAGGAGUCUGGAAGAAACCCAGCGGGCGUCGAGGCAAUCAGGCCCGCGACGCCUGUUUAAUACAAACAGAAUUAAUGCCGGUUAAUUAAAAUACACCAGGGUAAGGCAAAGGCGCGAGUGGCCCCGAAACGAAAGGAUGGCGCGCUUUCUCGCUGCCCUUCGCAAGCAGCCGCCUUCGCUCCAGCCUCUCGGGGCUUCGGAGAAAGAAGAUCCGGGGAACCAGUGCCGGGGCUUCGCUCCUCAGUUUCCUUCAGCCGGGGCUUCUGGGGAACCCAGGCCCGGCAGCCCUGGAUUUGUUGAGGACUUCCUUCCGAGGCGAUCUUUGAGCAAGGGAGGCUGCCUCAAAUUGCCCCGGGAUUCAAGCUGCAGCUUCCGCUUCCAACCAGCCGGCGUUGGAAGUGAGCGCCUCUGCCGACGAGGCCUUGAGAUUUGCUACAGAGGAGACCCGGUGCGGUUUGGCGGGAAACUGGGCUCCUGCUCCUCUGAAGGUGGUGUUUGCAAGCCAAAAUGAAAAUUACUCCCGCCUGUUUUGCUUCUCUGUGUGUUUAAUUAAUCCAGAUCCAAUAUUGGGAGUUUUUAAAAUAUAAGGUUACAGGAGAGGGCACGAGAAAGAGUUUUCGGAAUCAUCGCCCACCAACGUUCUUACUGUAGGUUUCUAUUAAAAUAAAAUAAAAUAAAAAUAGUACGUGGGUACGUGUGGUCGCCGGAUCCACGGAAAAUGAGAUUCCUUUUUUUUUUUAAAGCGGGAAAAGGCCCCUCCACAAUAUUUGGAAAUAAGCCUGUGUUUUAAUUUCAUCUCCGAUUCAUGUGCUUCCCACUACUGUAUAUGUACUUAAAAGUUCCAGUCUACCUUUGCUCAGAGAAAUAAACUUUUAAACAAGCUGG